UACGGAGGGGGCUAGCGUUGUUCGGAAUUACUGGGCGUAAAGCGCACGUAGGCGGCUUUGUAAGUUAGAGGUGAAAGCCCGGAGCUCAACUCCGGAAUUGCCUUUAAGACUGCAUCGCUAGAAUUGUGGAGAGGUGAGUGGAAUUCCGAGUGUAGAGGUGAAAUUCGUAGAUAUUCGGAGGAACACCAGUGGCGAAGGCGACUCACUGGACACAUAUUGACGCUGAGGUGCGAAAGCGUGGGGAGCAAACAGG
rnacentral:rRNA from 1 species